UAUAUUGUAUGGUGUUCUGAAGACAAUAUUGAGAGAAAUAUUUAUUUGGACGUACACACUCUGAGUUUUGUUUUUAUCUCAUUACCUUAUGACUCUGACUACUACAUCUCUAAAAUAGGCUACAGGAUAAUCAGGGAAGACCACUCCAGCUGGAGGGAGUUACUGGUGCAAAUGUCAGAGUGCCCAAGCAUGCCAAGAAGAAGAAAAGUCAUUACUGUAUGAGCAUUAACAUAGGUGGUUCUAAAUCACAUCACAGCUGUCAUUCUUGUUGUGUCAGUCAAGGAAUCUGAUGAAACAUAGAACAAUUUCAGACAGGCCAAGGCCUCCUAUGAGAAAUCCCACUCGUGUGCACUGUGAUCAGGCAUUGCCUUGCUGUGAUAAUAACUCCCCUGGGCCGAGAGCUACAAUAAAAAGAAAACGAAGAUAAAGAAACAGAGGGAAACAGAAACCAUCCAUAAUCCUACUCCUUCAAAGACAGCUACAGUCAAAUUCUCAUGUAACUCCUUCUCUUUUGGCAAGAAUAUUAUACCCUACAAAGGUCUCUGGUGUGGAUUUAAAAUACUA
rnacentral:lncRNA from 1 species